ACCAUAUAGCCCCUCUAGUAUUUAUUGGUAAUCUAAAUAAUUUGCUACAGAAAGCUGCCCCGCCCCCCCGUUUAUUAGGCCACUCACCAAUGAUUGCUUUUUGGUUAAGUCAUCCGGAUGAGAAAGAUGUCUGACUCAUUUUGGGUUUAGAAUUUUAGAGCAUUUGUAAAUACUUCACAUAGUUGUGUGUUUUUCGCUUGCUUUGCCUGGAAAUAUGUGUGGCUUAUGUGUCUCCCUUUCCAGAAUGAAAACUGCUCUCAGUCUUUGUCUCAUUCUUGAACCUAGAGGAACACCAAGUACAAAGUGCCUGGUUCAUUAUGACUUCAGCUUUGCUGAUGAGAUGUCUUCCAGAACAUGGUGUCCUUUAGCACAAGACUAACCAAGUGUUUGGCCCAACAAGGAUCCUGCAGGAGCCACAGAAGCUGCAGGCAGACUUGUGUCCCACACCACCCUGAGGGCCAGCAGCCAGGUUCUAUUCAACUACCAUGCUGCUGCUGCUGCUAAGUCGCUUCAGUCGUGUCUGACUCUGUGUGACCCCCUAGAAGGCAGCCCACCAGGCUCCGCCAUCCCUGGGAUUCUCCAGGCAAGAACACUGGA